AUAAAUAUCGUUUUCCUUCACAUAUUCUCUUUCUAAUUUUGCUUUUUAACACUACCUUACAAAUGAAUGUAUAUACGUGUCUACGAUAACAGAAAUUUGAUAGAUAACCUCCGCACCCCAUCGAUGACACAAACACUUCAAUUGGAGAUUAUUUUUGACUAAACUAACAGAGACGCAACGAAAAUUUUAAGAAAAAACUGGAAAUUUUACCGGUGAGUGUGUUACAUUAUAAGGCCCAAAAAAGAAAAUGACUCUCCCCAGACACAACAGAAUAAAGAAAAGUAAAACGGAGUAGGUAUAUUUUCUCCUUUACUAUUCGAAUUUUUUAAUUCGUUGUUUCAAAUUUCUUUCUUUCUUUAUUCAUUUCUUAUUUGUUCAUUUUCCUUCAUUCUUUUUACUUUAUGUUUCUUUGUUCUUUUAUUUAUUUAUUUAUUUAUUACGGAGAUGUACUUGCAUAGCAAGUGACCUGAUCUGAGAUCGUGUGCUGGAACGAAAACAAUUGCAGCGUGGAAGGUGUUUAUAAACCAUUUAAGAAACACACGAAAACCGUUCGAUUCACUUCAACAUUUAAAUUUAGUUUCUCAAAAUAUUUUCGUCGCUUUGAGACCGCGACCUGUUCACUGUUGUCCAUUUAUUGGAUCUUUUCUCUUGAACGCCAAGAGAAAAAGAUGUUUUAUAAAUACAGUCUACCAGUAUACGAAGUUUAAAAGUGUUUAGUUAUAAAGAAAUUAUUUUAAAAAUCUGCCGGUCAAACGGAAAAGAUCCUAUUUAGUUAUUUAUUUAUUCUCUGUUGAAUUGUUUGUCGAUUGAGUUUUUUUUCUUUUUUUUUCUAUUCAGGUCUUCCAUACUUUGGCAAACCUAUCACUUUCCAAACUUGUAAAAGUGCUGCAAUUUCAUACGAAACGGCGGCGUGAAACCGAUCUCUGUGAGUCUAUAUAUUUCGCCAAAGCUCGAUUUCUCCGUUUUCGAUGUGGAACUGCGUAACAGAUUUGCAGGAAGACUCGCAGAAGUAGCAGAACCGCCGAGGUGGUCGAUAGAUCUUGCUUGACGGAUACAAACCACGGAUAUUGAUCGAUCGAUCGGAAGAAAAAGAACAACUGAGCGGAAGAAAACAAAUUCGGAUUUUUUUUUAUAUAAAAAAGGGAAUAUCACAGACAAAAUCUCUUCAAUUAACAACGAAAUUAAUUAAACCAAACGGACAAGGUGUGCGGAAGGAACGACCAAGUACUUGUGAACCACCUCAAUCAGGACUGUUGACUGGUGUGGGAGUGUUUGCCAUAUACACCUAUACAUUUCACAUAUAUAUAUAUAUAUACAUUUAUACACAUAUAAACUAUAUACUAUACUAUAUAUAUAUAUAUAUAUAUAUAUAUAUAAGCAACAAGGAUAUCCAAGGUAGAUUUAUAUGGAUAACACCAUACCAAAUUCUGGUGCCUUUGACUUAAGUACCAUAUUCAUCUGAAUCUAAAUUUUGCUGAACUCGUAUAUAUACAUACAUAUAUAUAUAUACGUAGGUUCUCUGUUUCUUUGAUCUCUGAACUGAAGAGGUUUCAAAAGCUAAAAAACCAAGAACACAUCGAUAGGAAUCUGGCAGCUUGGGGAUUAAAAGACAGAGGCAUCCUCGAUGCGAAUGGAAUUGUUGUAACUGAAAUAUCUCCCCGCAAAAAACCUAACAACGACGAUGUAUUGCUUACAGUGGCUCAUACCUGUGUUGCUUAUACCGAAACCAUUGAACCCAGCUUUCAUCUAUAACCAUGCCAUGUUCAUGGUGCUCUACCUCACCAGUUUCUUCUUAGAAAGGAAACCCUGCACGAUAUGCAGUGUGGUCUUUCUAGCUGCUGUCUUUCUCAUAUGCUACAGUUGUGUGGGGAACUGCAUGUUUUGGCACUGUCCCACAGAUGACUGCCAAGGGGUAGGAUGUACCGAACGUUGACAACCCCCAGGAGUCGUCGUCUUUACUCCUCAUAAAGAAUUAUAUAUAUAUAUAUACAUAUAAACAAAAAGGAAAAAAAAAAAAACCCAUUUAAACCAUUUGUAAAAAGAAAAAAAAACAACAACACAAAAAGAGGAAUAUACACAUAUAUAGACAUGACUGUGGAUUGGUUGAAUCGGUAGAGCAUCGGACGAAAUACCUUGCGGUAUUUAGUUACGGUUCUUUACUUACUGUUUUCAAAUCCCACCGAGGUUAACUUUGCCUUUCAUCCUUCGAGGGUGGAUAAAAUAAAGUACCAGUAAAAUACUAGGAUCGCAUAUAUAUAUAUAUAUAUAUAUAUAUAUAUAUAUAAAUAUAUAAUAUAUAUCGUGUGAAUGGAAUUAUUGUUAAAAACUAAGACUAACAACUUCAUUUAAUUCAUCCAUCUCUCAUUACAGAAAAGAAACAAAAAGACCAUAUAUAUGUAUGUAUGUAUAUAUAUAUACACAAAAAGAAAAAAUGAACAUCUUUCCUUCUUCGUCAAUAUUAACAACACAUUACACCACUGAAGGUAACUCUACGUGGUCGAUCGACCCUGCAAGAAAUAGCAGGCAACACUCUUCUCAGAUCACACCCUACCGUCUUACGGGGAAGGACACGUUGGAUAAUGCAGUCCUUCAUACCCCUACAAAAAGACGGGAUGGUCACAGUUGGAGUGCUCGAUACGGGUUGACCUGUGGCUAAACAACAUCAAGAAACUAAUCUUAUUUUUAUUAAAACUAUGAGGUUUCACAACCAUGUGAGAAAUUACUAUUAUUGUUGUUAUUACUAAUUUUUUAUUUUUGUUGUCGUUACUUUUCCUGUUAUUAAUUUAAAGAAUUGAUUUAGUGAUUAACUAAAUGUCUUGCAGUAUUUUAGUUUUACCAGUUAUUCUACGUUCUGUGCGAUUUCUACCCUUCGCCCUUCCGUUGGGGGGUGUUUCACUUAAAUAAUCAUCCUUCAUAUGACAACCCUCAAAAGGAAACACGCACCACAAUGACAAAUGCGAUUUCCAUUUAAUUUUCUAAAAUAAAAAUGAAACCCCAAUACUUCAAAUACAUAUGAUAGCAUUUUUUUUAAAAUAUAAAAUUUGUAAUUGCAUAAGCUAUUUAACAACAAAAAUGGUUUAAUCUAACUGUGACUCAGCCAGAUCUUUAUCGGAGAGGUGACGAUAAAGAAAAUUUUGCUUUUUAAUUCCCCAAAAGUGCACUUGAGUUGCCAAGCACAACUCCAAUAUUUGGCUCUUCCAAUUUUCCAG
rnacentral:lncRNA from 1 species